CGCACGUCGCCUUGGGGUCAAAGACAAAGCCCUGCGCCACCCCGCGGGGUGCGUCCGAGCGAGCCCAGCACAGCGACACCAAGGAGGCCAGGAGGAGAAAUCCCAAUCCCGCCGUCGCCGUAAAAGCCAUGACUGACAAAGCCUGAGUAUCAAGACAUCCAGGAGCCCCACGGCACGACGCCCACCAAGCAGGCAGGAGUUAAACAGGAAGUGAGCCAGCGUUUUGACGAGCGGAGCAGAUGUGAACAUACCACGACACACUGGAGCUGUCUCGCUGUCAAGAUGGAGGAAGCAGUCGAGAGUCAGGGGGAAAAUGACGACACUUUGGGAACGCCCCAUCCAUCGCCUGAUUGGUCAGAAUCUUCCAACGCGGAUGACGUCAGGUGAAACUGUCCAAAAUGCCUUGCUCCACAUUACCUUUGGUAAAGGUAGUAGAACGAGCGUGUUUUCCAAAAUCUAAGUUUAAAAACUCACUUCCAAAAGGGCAUAAAUAUUUAAAUAUGUUGCACAUUUUGUUUGGUACGUUUCUAAGAAGCUGAUACUUUUUUCUUAUAGUAAUAAUAAUUUAUGUAGUUA